CGUAGGGUGCGAGCGUUAAUCGGAAUUACUGGGCGUAAAGCGUGCGCAGGCGGUUGUGCAAGACAGUUGUGAAAUCCCCGGGCUCAACCUGGGAAUUGCAUCUGUGACUGCACAGCUAGAGUACGGUAGAGGGGGAUGGAAUUCCGCGUGUAGCAGUGAAAUGCGUAGAUAUGCGGAGGAACACCGAUGGCGAAGGCAAUCCCCUGGACCUGUACUGACGCUCAUGCACGAAAGCGUGGGGAGCAAACAGGAUUAGAUACCCUGGUAGUCCACGCCCUAAACGAUGUCAACUGGUUGUUGGGUGCAUUAGUACUCAGUAACGAAGCUAACGCGUGAAGUUGACCGCCUGGGGAGUACGGCCGCAAGGUUG
rnacentral:rRNA from 1 species